UCCAAAUUGUGCGCAGAAACUCCUCCGGA
rnacentral:piRNA from 1 species